CCUACGGGGGGCUGCAGUGGGGAAUAUUGGACAAUGGGGGGAACCCUGAUCCAGCCAUGCCGCGUGUGUGAAGAAGGCCCUCGGGUUGUAAAGCACUUUCAGUGAGGAAGAACGCCUGGUGGUUAAUACCCAUCAGGAAAGACAUCACUCACAGAAGAAGCACCGGCUAACUCCGUGCCAGCAGCCGCGGUAAUACGGAGGGUGCGAGCGUUAAUCGGAAUUACUGGGCGUAAAGCGCGCGUAGGUGGCUUGAUAAGCCGGUUGUGAAAGCCCCGGGCGCAACCUGGGAACGGCAUCCGGAACUGUCAAGCUAGAGUGCAGGAGAGGAAGGUAGAAUUCCCGGUGUAGCGGUGAAAUGCGUAGAGAUCGGGAGGAAUACCAGUGGCGAAGGCGGCCUUCUGGACUGACACUGACACUGAGGUGCGAAAGCGUGGGUAGCAAACAGGAUUAGAUACCCGAGGAGUC
rnacentral:rRNA from 1 species